CUGCUUUUAUUUUUAGAUAGUGGAAGAAUAUAAGUAUAGUACCUUUUGUAUCAGGGUUGUUUAAUUAAAAAAAUAAUGGUAUUUCUCGAUAUUAACUAAGUUAAAUAAAAUAUUAUAUGUUGAAAAAUUAUAUAAAUUUAUUUAGUAGUGAGAAUUUUUCGUAGUUGGAGGUAUCUAGUUGUCAGGCAUAAUUAUUAAAAGGGAUAAGCUUUUUAUUAGGGUAUAUUUUAGGUGCUAUAUAAUAAAUUAGGCUUAAGAUUAGUCGUAUUAAUAAAUUGUUUAAAAUUUUUUAUGGAGUUGAAGCUAUGAAUUAUAAGUUAUGAGGUAAUUUAUUAUUGCGAUGAGGUUAUAUUUAUAAUGAAUGAAUUAGUAUUUUUAAAGGUUGUCAAAUACAACUCAAGUGUCGUAGAAUAGUUUAUCAAAAACAUUUUUUUAUUGAUAUAAAAUAAGGCCUGCCCAGUGUGAUAUAAACGGCUGCGGUAUUUUGACUGUGCUAAGGUAGCAUAAUAAUUUGUUUUUUAAUUGGAAACUGGGAUGAAAGGUUUUAUCUACGGUAAGUUUUAUUGACAAAAGAAAUAAUUUAUAUUUUUGGUAAAAAUACCAUAAUUAGUUAAAGUGACGAUAAGACCCUAUAAGCUUUAUUUAGAAAGGGAUAAAAUUAAUAAUUUAGCGUUUUUUUACUUUUAUUAAUUUUGCUGGGGCAGUAAUAUUAUUUGACUUAAUAUAUAGUACAACAUAGUUAGGUGAGUAUAAGAUCUUUUUAUAAAGAUAAUUAGUAUAAGUUACUGUAGGGAUAACAGCGCAAUAAUUUCAGAGAGGUCUUAUUGAUGAGGUUGAUUGCGACCUCGAUGUUGAAUUAAAAUUUCUUUUUGUUGCAGAAGGCAGUGAAGAAGGUUUGUUCAACCUUUAAAUUUUUACAUGAUUUGAGUUCAAAUCGGUUUAAGCCAGAUUGGUUUCUAUCUUUUACAGUAUAUAUUUUAUGUAAGUACGAAAGGGACACAUAAAGUUU
rnacentral:rRNA from 1 species